rnacentral:rRNA from 1 species
CCCUUAGAUGUUCUGGGCUGCACGCGCGCUACACUGAAGCUAUCAACACGUUUUCCCUCCCUGAGAAGGGCGGGUAACCUUUUGAAUCAGCUUCGUGGUAGGGAUAGGGGCUUGCAAUUGUUCCCCGUGAACCAGGAAUUCCUAGUAGACGCGAGUCAUAAGCUCGCAUCGAUUAAGUCCCUGCCCUUUGUACACACCGCCCGUCGCUACUACCGAUUGAACGUUUUAGUGAGGCAUUUGGACCGACGCAUCUCAGUUUAACCGCUGGUUUGUGUUGGAAAGACUUCCAAACUUGAGCGUUUAGAGGAAGUAAAAGUCGUAACA